rnacentral:rRNA from 1 species
CGCCCUUCCUACGGGAGGCAGCAGUAGGGAAUAUUGCACAAUGGAGGAAACUCUGAUGCAGCGACGCCGCGUGAGUGACGAAGGCCUUCGGGUUGUAAAGCUCUGUUCUCAGGGAAAGAGCAAGUGAUGUCCNGGAA